ensembl:lncRNA ACAP2-IT1 ACAP2 intronic transcript 1
AAUAUGCUUAGUAUUAUAAAUGUUGAGUGAUGAGUUGUUUACCAUUUAUAAUAAACUGUUAAAUGUAUUUCUGGGAACAUUCCAUGGCAGCAUAUUCUGGGUUGUUGUUUAUGUGUUCCAAUGUAGACAAAUUAUAUUUGCCUUGGGAAAAAUUCUAAGUAAUCAAAAUUAUAUUUAAAUAUUAAAAAAUCACAUUGAAGUUCAAUUUGUGUUAGCUGUAUUAAAUAUCUUGGUCACUAUUGUUCUUGUAACAUUUGCUUUUGACAACACAUUUUGAGAUCUAAGAAAGGUAGUACAUUAACAGUGCAUUAAUUAAUGUUUUGUUAGAAACUAAAUGUUAACAAAAAGUUUUGUGUGUAUGUGAAGGUGGCAACUUCCUUUUGUAUUAUAUUAACACUUUUUAAAUGUAUUCAGUCAGUGAAACCAAUGAUUAUUAUAGCACCAACACUUUCAUUCAAGGAAGCAUUUGAGUCUUAUAAUUUGUUUUGCAUGGUACAAUGGUUCUACUAAAAUAUACUUGUGUAAUAGGUACUAGAUGAUUUAAAAACAAAACCGGAGAAACCAUUUAAAAAGUUCCAUAGCUUGUUAUACAAAAUAUGCAUUGCUAAUGUUUAGCAGGAAGCAUUCAUGAUCAACGAUUUAUCUUGAAAAUAAGAUUCCUUCGUCUGAGGGAUUGAUCUGUAUGUGUGU